rnacentral:rRNA from 1 species
GNAGAGGUGAAUGCCGUCCAGUUCGUCCGUGAGGUUCCUGUAAGUCAGGCAACGAUCGACCACCCUUUAGUUGCUCCCGAGGAAAUUUUCCGAGGGCACUCUAAAGGGACUGCCGUCGACAGACGAGGAAGGAGUGGGUACGGCAGGUCAGAUGCCCCGAAUCCUCCGGGCUACACGCGACGCUGCAAUGGCAGAGACAAUGGGUUCCGACCCUGAAAAGGGAAGCAAUCUCGAACUCUGCCUCAGUUUGGACUUAAGGCUGGACCCGCCUUCACGAAAAUGAAUGCCUAGUAAUCGCGCGUCAUCAACGCGCGGUGAAUACGUCCCCGCUCCUUGCACACACCGCCCGUCGCUCCAUCCGAGUGGGGUUUGGGUAGGCGUGGUCUUAUUGGCUGCGUCGAUCUAUGUUCCGCAAGAGGGGAGUCUGUACCAAGGAACCAC